rnacentral:rRNA from 1 species
CUGUUGGACUAGAGAGUAGUUGCGGUAGGCGGAAUGUAUGGUGUAGCGGUGAAAUGCUUAGAGAUCAUACAGAACACCGAUUGCGAAGGCAGCUUACCAAACUAUAUCUGACGUUGAGGCACGAAAGCGUGGGGAGCAAACAGGAUUAGAUACCCUGGUAGUCCACGCAGUAAACGAUGAUAACUCGCUGUCGGCGAUACACAGUCGGUGGCUAAGCGAAAGCGAUAAGUUAUCCACCUGGGGAGUACGUUCGCAAGAAUGAAACUCAAAGGAAUUGACGGGGGCCCGCACAAGCGGAGGAACAUGUGGUUUAAUUCGAUGAUACGCGAGGAACCUUACCCGGGCUUGAAAGUUAGCGACGAUUCUGGAAACAGGAUUUCCCUUCGGGGCGCGAAACUAGGUGCUGCAUGGUUGUCGUCAGCUCGUGCCGUGAGGUGUCGGGUUAAGUCCCAUAACGAGCGCAACCCCUACCGUUAGUUGCCAUCAGGUCAAGCUGGGCACUCUGGCGGGACUGCCGGUGUAAGCCGAGAGGAAGGUGGGGAUGACGUCAAAUCAGCACGGCCCUUACGUCCGGGGCUACACACGUGUUACAAUGGUAGGUACAGAGGGCAGCUACCCCGCGAGGGGAUGCGAAUCUCGAAAGCCUAUCUCAGUUCGGAUUGGAGGCUGAAACCCGCCUCCAUGAAGUUGGAUUCGCUAGUAAUCGCGCAUCAGCCAUGGCGCGGUGAAUACGUUCCCGGGCCUUGUACACACCGCCCGUCAAGCCAUGGGAGCUAGGNNNGCCUGAAGUUCGUGACCGCAAGGAGCGACCUAGGGCAAAACCGGUGACUGGGGCUAAGUCGUAACAAGGUAACCA